GAGGGUAUAGCUCAGUGGUAGAGUGCAUGCUUGGCAUGCACUAGGUCCUGGGUUCAAUCUCCAGUAACUCCA
rnacentral:tRNA from 1 species